rnacentral:rRNA from 1 species
AUUGAACGCUGGCGGCAGGCUUAACACAUGCAAGUCGAACGAGUGGCGGACGGGUGAGUAAUGUCUGGGAAACUGCCCGAUGGAGGGGGAUAACUACUGGAAUCGGUAGCUAAUACCGCAUACCAUCGGAUGUGCCCAGAUAGGAUUAGCUAGUAGGUGGGGUAACGGCUCACCUAGGCGACGAUCCCUAACUGGUCUGAGAGGAUAACCAGCCACACUGGAACUGAGACACGGUCCAAACGCCUACGAGGGGCAGCGGUGGGGAAUAUUGCACAAUGGGCGCAAUCCUGCUGCAGCCAUGCGGCGUGUAUGAAGAAGGCCUUCGGGUUGUAAAGUACUUUCAGCGGGGAGGCGUUACCCGCAGAAGGAGCACCAGCUAACUCCGUGCCAGCAGCCGCGGUAAUAC